rnacentral:rRNA from 1 species
AUUGAACGCUGGCGGCAGGCCUAACACAUGCAAGUCGAGCGCGAAAGGCCUUCGGGCUGAGUAGAGCGGCGGACGGGUGAGUAACGCGUAGGAAUCUACCUGGUAGUGGGGGACAACUUGGGGAAACUCAAGCUAAUACCGCAUACGCCCUAUGGGGGAAAGUGGGGGACCUUCGGGCCUCACGCUAUCAGAUGAGCCUGCGUAGGAUUAGCUAGUUGGUGAGGUAAAGGCUCACCAAGGCGACGAUCCUUAGCUGGUCUGAGAGGAUGAUCAGCUACACUGGGACUGAGACACGGCCCAGACUCCUACGGGAGGCAGCAGUGGGGAAUAUUGCGCAAUGGGGGGCAACCCUGACGCAGCCAUGCCGCGUGUGUGAAGAAGGCCUCGGUUGUAAGACACUU